AUGCUUAAAAAAUUUUAAAACUUAGAUACAAUAAUCCAGUUCCCUUAAGUUUUAUGUAAAUUAUUAAAAUGAACAUUGAACAUGUUGAACCAUACUUCGUUUUUUGAAUUUGAAUUUGUUUUUUUUUUAUUUUAUCUGACAACUGGAAACACCUUGAUCACCGAUUAAAAAAAAAACAGGAAUCAGAAAAAAGAAACCAUAUCAGAC
rnacentral:lncRNA from 1 species